rnacentral:lncRNA from 1 species
UUCUGAUCCGGGUGGCACGUUAAAUUCCUCCGGGUGUUGGUUGAGCAGAUGUGGAGGAGAUUGGCCACUGCACUGCUGCAAAAUUAACGGCUGAGAUUAUAGGUCUACAAUGGGAAUGACCCAAAUGUUUUCUCACUUUUAUUUUUAUUUCUUUCCAGAGGAGAGUUUUUUAUAAACACUGAUGCGUAACGACAUUGAGAAGGAGGCUGCAUUAUGUAACCUUGAGGAGGAAAGCUGGAUUUGAGCACGCCGCAAUUAAGCCCGUAUUGUAAAUAACUGCAGGAGAGCUUGUGGGAGCACCCGAGUGCUGGACGCUUCUUCAAAACACAGAUGGAUUUUCCAUUCAUGGUUUACACUUUGUACCUCGUUGCCAACAUCGCCAUCGCUGCUCGCUGCCCUGUGUGCCUCUCCUCUCACGUGGCAGCAGGGCAAGAAAGCCAUGAGAACACGGAACCAGAUUUGAGACAAGAGCUGGAGAUGGAGGAGCCUGAGCAGGACUGGUGUGAAGAGGCAAUCAGGUCUGGUGGGGUGGUUGACUCCUGCUGUGAAUGGCUGACUCCCAUCCCAGUCCAGGUCAAGUUCUCACACUGUCAGCAUCUGUCCAGGUGCUCCUGCAGGAGAACCCUGUGCAGGAAGCACAGGUUACUUCAGAAACAUCAAAUGUUGUGAAAGAAAAUUAAAAUAAUAGAUUCAACACUUCUGUGUCUACUCACAUGUGCCCCACUCUCAGAGCUGAUGGCAUGGGACUCAUGUUCACAAAGGCCACCUGAAAGGGUGACGCUCGGUCAGUGGGGCAGCACUGAUCUCCAAAGUUAUCUUCAUUCUUGUAUUGCGUUUGAGAAGUACUUUUUGUCUCACCUAUUCUCCUUUUGGAGUUUCUGUUUUAUAGUCUGGAAAUAAAUUAAAAAAAAAAUAAAUUAAAAAGAAUCGA